GCGCCCCAAAGCGCGCCGACCGGGUCCAUUCAAAUUCAGCCAAUCAGCUAAUGACCCUAAUCGGUCCGCGAUUGGAGCAAGCUUGCUUACGGCACAUUAAAAACACUGACACAAGCACUGGGACUGAAAGCAGAAAAAAAGAGUCCUUUGGGAAAAUAAACGAGGAGGAAAAGAAAUGGGGGUAAAAUUUGAGGAUCACAUGCCAGUCCGUGCAGCUUUCAACACGAAGAGACAAAAGCUCCUCACACAAAGCCUGAAGUCUGUGCCAUUCACUGUAACUUAAAUAAAAACAACAGCGAGAA